AACGUAGGUGGCGAGCGUUAUCCGGAUUUACUGGGCGUAAAGCGUGUGCAGGCGGCUGACCAAGUGGUGUAUGAAAUAUCCAGGCUCAACCUGGAGGGGUUAUGCCAGACUGGUCAGCUAGAGUGCGAGAGAGGGGCGUGGAAUUCCGGGUGUAGUGGUGAAAUGCGUAGAGAUCCGGAGGAACCCCAGAGGCGAAGGCGACUACCUGGCCCAUUCUUGACGCUGAGGCGCGAAAGCUAGGGGAGCGAACGGG
rnacentral:rRNA from 1 species